rnacentral:lncRNA from 1 species
UUUAAUGUUUUAGAAGUAGAAGGUUUUAAGUCAUUCAUUGAGUACUCUAAAUAAAAGGCUAUAAAGUAGGUGUGAGUGUCAAUUAUGUUGGUCUAUGUGCUAAUCAAGGGGUCUGAGCGCCAAUUAUGCAGUCCUAUGUGCCAACCAAAGGAGAGCCUAAGUUCCAAUUACGUCGGCCUAUGUGCCAAUUAUGUCAGUUUAUGUGCUAACCAGGGGCCUAAGUGCCAAUUAUGUCGGGUCUAUGUUCCAAUUAUGUCGGCUUAUGUGCCAACCAAGGGCCUAAGUUGCCAAGUUAGUCAUUAUUCAAACUCUGAAUCGUGCAAUACGGGGUGAGUCAUGCUUGGAGGAGGACUAUGGAGCGAGCUCUAAUCCUGUCCACAGCUAAGAUUGGAAA